rnacentral:rRNA from 1 species
UUAAGCGACUAAGCGUACACGGUGGAUGCCCUGGCAGUCAGAGGCGAUGAAGGACGUGCUAAUCUGCGAUAAGCGUCGGUAAGGUGAUAUGAACCGUUAUAACCGGCGAUUUCCGAAUGGGGAAACCCAGUGUGAUUCGUCACACUAUCAUUAACUGAAUCCAUAGGUUAAUGAGGCGAACCGGGGGAACUGAAACAUCUAAGUACCCCGAGGAAAAGAAAUCAACCGAGAUUCCCCCAGUAGCGGCGAGCGAACGGGGAGCAGCCCAGAGCCUGAAUCAGUGUGUGUGUUAGUGGAAGCGUCUGGAAAGGCGCGCGAUACAGGGUGACAGCCCCGUACACAAAAAUGCACAUGCUGUGAGCUCGAUGAGUAGGGCGGGACACGUGGUAUCCUGUCUGAAUAUGGGGGGACCAUCCUCCAAGGCUAAAUACUCCUGACUGACCGAUAGUGAACCAGUACCGUGAGGGAAAGGCGAAAAGAACCCCGGCGAGGGGAGUGAAAAAGAACCUGAAACCGUGUACGUACAAGCAGUGGGAGCACAGAGCAAUCUGUGUGACUGCGUACCUUUUGUAUAAUGGGUCAGCGACUUAUAUUCUGUAGCAAGGUUAACCGAAUAGGGGAGCCGAAGGGAAACCGAGUCUUAACUGGGCGUUAAGUUGCAGGGUAUAGACCCGAAACCCGGUGAUCUAGCCAUGGGCAGGUUGAAGGUUGGGUAACACUAACUGGAGGACCGAACCGACUAAUGUUGAAAAAUUAGCGGAUGACUUGUGGCUGGGGGUGAAAGGCCAAUCAAACCGGGAGAUAGCUGGUUCUCCCCGAAAGCUAUUUAGGUAGCGCCUCGUGAAUUCAUCUCCGGGGGUAGAGCACUGUUUCGGCAAGGGGGUCAUCCCGACUUACCAACCCGAUGCAAACUGCGAAUACCGGAGAAUGUUAUCACGGGAGACACACGGCGGGUGCUAACGUCCGUCGUGAAGAGGGAAACAACCCAGACCGCCAGCUAAGGUCCCAAAGUCAUGGUUAAGUGGGAAACGAUGUGGGAAGGCCCAGACAGCCAGGAUGUUGGCUUAGAAGCAGCCAUCAUUUAAAGAAAGCGUAAUAGCUCACUGGUCGAGUCGGCCUGCGCGGAAGAUGUAACGGGGCUAAACCAUGCACCGAAGCUGCGGCAGCGACGCUGAUGCGUUGUUGGGUAGGGGAGCGUUCUGUAAGCCUGCGAAGGUGUGCUGUGAGGCAUGCUGGAGGUAUCAGAAGUGCGAAUGCUGACAUAAGUAACGAUAAAGCGGGUGAAAAGCCCGCUCGCCGGAAGACCAAGGGUUCCUGUCCAACGUUAAUCGGGGCAGGGUGAGUCGACCCCUAAGGCGAGGCCGAAAGGCGUAGUCGAUGGGAAACAGGUUAAUAUUCCUGUACUUGGUGUUACUGCGAAGGGGGGACGGAGAAGGCUAUGUUGGCCGGGCGACGGUUGUCCCGGUUUAAGCGUGUAGGCUGGUUUUCCAGGCAAAUCCGGAAAAUCAAGGCUGAGGCGUGAUGACGAGGCACUACGGUGCUGAAGCAACAAAUGCCCUGCUUCCAGGAAAAGCCUCUAAGCAUCAGGUAACAUCAAAUCGUACCCCAAACCGACACAGGUGGUCAGGUAGAGAAUACCAAGGCGCUUGAGAGAACUCGGGUGAAGGAACUAGGCAAAAUGGUGCCGUAACUUCGGGAGAAGGCACGCUGAUAUGUAGGUGAAGUCCCUCGCGGAUGGAGCUGAAAUCAGUCGAAGAUACCAGCUGGCUGCAACUGUUUAUUAAAAACACAGCACUGUGCAAACACGAAAGUGGACGUAUACGGUGUGACGCCUGCCCGGUGCCGGAAGGUUAAUUGAUGGGGUUAGCGCAAGCGAAGCUCUUGAUCGAAGCCCCGGUAAACGGCGGCCGUAACUAUAACGGUCCUAAGGUAGCGAAAUUCCUUGUCGGGU